UCGGGUGAAGCCGGGCGACUCUGGAAGGACUGCCAUCGACAAGAUGGAGGAAGUGGGGACGACGUCAAGUCAUCAUGGCCCUUAUGUCCAGGGCGACACACGUGCUACAAUGGCCGGCACAACGGGAAGCGAGUUCGCGAGGACGAGCGGAUCCCUUAAAGCCGGUCGCAGUUCGGAUUGAAGUCUGCAACUCGACUUCAUGAAGCUGGAAUCGCUAGUAAUCGCAGAUCAGCCAAGCUGCGGUGAAUACGUUCCCGGGCCUU
rnacentral:rRNA from 1 species